ACGCCAUGGAAAUUGGUUCCAUUUGAAAAUAUUUAAAAAACAAUAUUAUUUUUUUUUAAGUAAAAAUAACCUUUUUUUUAUUAUUCUUUUUCUAAAAUUAACGUUGUUUUUUAACUUAUUUAUUAUGAAGUUAAGGACUGGGGUGAAGUCGUAACAAGGUUUCCGUAGGUGAACCUGCAGAAGGAUCAAGAUCGGAAGGGCACCCGCCUGAACCCCAGUCACGCGGCCUAGCUUCGUAUGCCUCAUUCUUCUUGAAACAAAAAAUCCUUCCCACCCC
rnacentral:misc_RNA from 1 species